rnacentral:rRNA from 1 species
GAUGAACGCUGGCGGCGUGCCUAAUACAUGCAAGUCGAGCGAACGGACGAGAAGCUUGCAUCUCUGAUGUUAGCGGCGGACGGGUGAGUAACACGUGGAUAACCUACCUAUAAGACUGGGAUAACUUCGGGAAACCGGAGCUAAUACCGGAUGAUAUUUUGAACCGCAUGGUUCAAAAGUGAAAGACGGUCUUGCUGUCACUUAUAGAUGGAUCCGCGCUGCAUUAGCUAGUUGGUAAGGUAACGGCUUACCAAGGCAACGAUGCAUAGCCGACCUGAGAGGGUGAUCGGACACACUGGAACUGAGACACGGUCCAGACUCCUACGGGAGGCAGCAGUAGGGAAUCUUCCGCAAUGGGCGAAAGCCUGACGGAGCAACGCCGCGUGAGUGAUGAAGGUCUUCGGAUCGUAAAACUCUGUUAUUAGGGAAGGACAUAUGUGUAAGUAACUGUGCACAUCUUGACGGUACCUAAUCAGAAAGCCACGGCUAACUACGUG